UAGUAACUGGCUUCUCUGGCUACAUUCAAUAACAUGAAGUUAACCACAUUGUGUUUUAUUUUAUUGCUAAUAAAUCUUGCGUACUGUUGUACUGUAUGCAAAGCUAAGCCACCACGCGAAGAUUCGUGGAAAUAUGUUAAAGUACCUCUGCCUAAACGAAAAUUUAUGUUUCGCUUAACAAACAGUACAUCCCCAUACUAAACCAAAUAAAAACUACUUAAUUAUUA